GACGAACGCUGGCGGCGUGCUUAACACAUGCAAGUCGAACGGAAAGGCCCUGCUUUUGUGGGGUGCUCGAGUGGCGAACGGGUGAGUAACACGUGAGUAACCUGCCCUUGACUUUGGGAUAACUUCAGGAAACUGGGGCUAAUACCGGAUAGGAGCUCCUGCUGCAUGGUGGGGGUUGGAAAGUUUCGGCGGUUGGGGAUGGACUCGCGGCUUAUCAGCUUGUUGGUGGGGUAGUGGCUUACCAAGGGUUUGACGGGUAGCCGGCCUGGGAGGGUGACCGGCCACAUUGGUACUGAGAUACGGCCCAGACGCCUACGGGAGGCAGCAGUGGGGAAUAUUGCGCAAUGGGCGGAAGCCUGAUGCAGCAACGCCGCGUGCGGGAUGACGUCCUUCGGGUUGUAAACCGCUUUCGCCUGUGACGAAGCGUGAGUGACGGUAAUGGGUAAAGAAGCACCGGCUAACUACGUG
rnacentral:rRNA from 1 species